GCAGAACAGAAAAGAAACAGUGGGAUUAGGGCUCCAAAAACCCUCCAGAACUAUCAGAGAAUUCUGGACAGUGGUCCCUGAUGGCAUCUGUGUUAGGGGCUGGGAACAAGAACCCCUCUCACAGGCACCUCUACAGGCGGGGUUAAGACUGUCAAAUACUGGCCGAGGCCAAGGGAGACUCUGUCAUGUCUGAGGCCAUAGGCAUGUUUUCUUCUGGACUUCAGCGAGAGGCAGAGCCCCCAGCCCCAUGCAGUCACCUCAGCUCUGCCUGAGAAGAAGCGAGGGAAGCCCAUUCCUCCCCAUCAGUUGGCCUCUGGGGAGGCAAAGUCAAGUAUGUGAUGGUUCCUUACCUGUGCAGGGAAAAUGGAACUUGGGAGUCAGCUGUCUGAAGGCAUCACGCCUUGUAUGACCCUUGCAAGCCCAAGCUACCUACCUGUUCCUGUACAGAAACCCUCCCUGGCCUCAUCCUGUGGGUGGCAAACCCACAUAUUCAGUUAUUGCUGUUUUCUUCCUUCCUUGGAUACUUGUCUCCAAUAAAUAUUUACAGUGGGACCCACAGAUGAACCUUAGCCCCAAACAUAAGAUAGCUAUGUCAAAAGGGGUCCUGGGACAGUGAUACCCCAGGGGGGUCAGGCAAAAACAGAAGCAAGCCUCUUGGCCACCUCCUCCCUUAGCCUUCUGCGUAAAGAUGGACUUGCAGGAGGAGAACACACCCUGCAACUACAGAACCUCAUGCAUCCCCAAAGAACAUUCAAGUCUGAGCCUCAAGGAGCCUCUGCGACUCGGUGUCUAGAUCCAGGAAAUGGAGAAUGAGCCGUGACUUUGGAUGCUUCACUCUUGUCCAUCAGGCUCGGAAUUGGUGAGCAUCUCCCACAUUACCGUCUCCAACGGAACAAGGUGCCCCAUUGGACAUUUCCUCUGCAUGGACCAGCCAUUCUCCAAAUCUGCCCCCAUGUCACCCCAGCUCCCCAUCGCAGUCACUUCUCACUCCUUGUCCCCUGUCCCCCUGAGUGACAGGACUUUUGCCAGUUAGGUCCUGUCCCUGUUUCUGAUCUUGGGUCCAUUCCCCAUGGUCCCUUUCUUGCUUGUGCCUUGGGAUCUCAGGCCUGUUGAAGUAGGAGGCAGGACUCAACUUCAGACCAGAUUGAAGACUGGCUGACACAGAAGAGGCACCAAAAGCACCUCUCUCUCCAUAAGACAUGCCCACCAGUGCCAUGACAGUUUACCAUUGCUAUGGCAAUGCCCAGAAGUUCUCACCCCUUUUCCAGACAUUUCUGCAUAAUCUACCCCUCAAUUGGCAUGUGAUCAAAAGUGGGUGUCAAAAUGACUGUGGAACUGUCCCUGAGCUGCUACUCUUGACAUGCUGGUUACAGGGUAGCCCGGCUCUGCAGGGACAGUCACGGAGCUGAAAAACUGCUGCCUAAUGAAGCUGUUUUCUUC
ensembl:lncRNA novel transcript